rnacentral:lncRNA from 7 species
CACUUCUGGGUCUCGAAGGACUUACCAGCCUGAAUCCAGCAACAGGAUCCUGCCAAAGACUUUUGGCCUGGCCCUGGAAAUCAAAUAUCUUGAAGGUUUAGCUGCAGAGGGACAAACCACCCAUCCGUUACUCACUCAUAACUGGAGACUUGGCAGAGUUUCUCUCUCUUUCUCCUCUGGCCAGUGCUGGGUUUCCUGACUUUCCCAAGGAUGACUGUAUCUCAGUGUGUGCGUGGCUGGAGAAAUCACAACUUUACACGUGGUAUUUCAGCUUGCAGUUCCAAGCACCUCAAUUUCCUUGUGUUCACCAGUUUUCCCUGAGUCAACCCAGCAGAGGGAUGGAGGCAGUCUGGGUUCCAUCUUGGGUUAUGCAGGGUAAAAGAGCCUGUGGAGCAAGACGGAUCAAUUGUCUUUAGAGCUGGUCAGAUUCAUGGCAUCAGUGAACCAUUCCCAAAGCGGAGACCCACAUGUUGAGGCUGCCAGAAAGCACAGGAUCCUCUCCUGCCUCAGGACACCACACUGCUGCCCUGGGCAGAGCUCAUGUAGGAUCCCUGUGUGAGCAAAAUCCUAUCGCUGCCUUCGAACAAGCUCUAGAUUUGGUUGGAGCGGCAUCAAAGGAAAGGGGAGGUGAAGCUGAGGACUCGACCCGCCAGCCCAGGCUGAACUGCAAGGCUGGCAGCGAGGGGAAAACAUAUUUCUGCUGCUAAACAGAUUUGGGCUGGAAUCGGUGAGCAAUUACCAGGCUGCCUCUCUGAAGUUUUCUUAGGAAGAGCUCUGCACGUGCACAGAUCGUGCAGUUUUGCUGGAUUUCUCUGCCUUACAAACACUGCUCAGAUUUUAGUGAAUGCAUAAUUUUCUCUUUGGUUGAUCACUGCCAGGAGUUAUUCUGUUAUACCUAGGGUUGUCUAUUUACUCUUUAAAGUGUGUUCCUUUUAUUUAUUCCUCCAGAGCUGCCUGUUUAAUCCAAUCUCUUUUCCACUGAAUUACACCAACACAAUAAAACGAGACAAACAGGUUCAGCCUGGGUCAAGGGUGGCAGAGGAAGGGGCUAUAUUCUUGACAGGUAAUAACUCUAGCAUU